rnacentral:tRNA from 1 species
UAAGUUGUAGCUUAUAUUUAGAGCAAUUAGCUGUUAACUAAUUAGGAAUAAAAAUUAUCUUCUUAU